GUAAAGAGUGUGAAAAAUCAAGAUUCCAAACUGUGAUGAACUUUUGAAACACAUUGUCCUUCUUGAUCUUCCUGGGAUUGGAGACUGCAAUAAGACUAGAGAAGAUCUGUGGAAAUCUAAACUGAGAGAGUGCUCUUCUGUGUGGAUUGUAAGUGAUAUCAAUCUCGAGCAAUCACUGACAAAGAUCCCUGGGGGAUAUUUAAAGCACUGCAUUCAGGACUUGGGACCAGGAGGAGAAUGUAAAAACAUUAGCUUCAUCUGUACAAAGACUGAUGAUAUCAAUCCAGGAGCCUACAUGAGAGGUUCACGGCUGACUAAAGAUGAAAUAGGAAACAAGGAUCAGACAGCAGUGUGCAUACUUCACAGAAACAAAACCACUAAGGAAUCAAUAAAAAAAAA